ACACUAUAAAGUUCCAAUACCGAGUCUUAUUCCAAAACCAAUUAGAACUUCUCUCAAUCCUGUUAACCCAAAUCAUUGAGGAUAUCUUAACUACUUUAAACAAAAGACUUUUCUAUAUCAAUCUUAAACGAUAUAACCGGUCCCAACCUAUAUUUCAUACUCACAAUCUUACAUGGAGGACUGGGUGAUCAAGUAUUAACUCAUGUUAAAAGAAAAGGUAAACCAUGAAAAUCCCAAAGUGAUAUCCCAUGACCUACAACUAUUUUCUUAUCAAUCAAAUCAUUAUUGGAAGCCUACUCGGAGUCUCCAUCUCUUGGAAGAGUUGUAUUAAUUUGCGUUUGAUUGGAAGGGCUGCAGAGAUUUGAUUCAAAUUGGUGGAUUUGGGUCAACAUGACUGAAUAUAUUAGCAGACUUGCAGUCAUUGCAUACAUGGAAUACAAGAAGGUUUGCAAUUUGACACAUUUCAACAUUUUCGAUUUUGGAUUAUUUGCACAACAAUUGAACAUUGUGCUUGAUAAAACUGAAAAAAGGAAAAUCAAGAUAGGAUUCUUGGAUUUGUAUCUGUAUGAGCUUUGGUUUUAGUGACUUCUUAAAUUUGGUCAUGAUUGACCGCUUUUUUUAA